AGGACGAACGCUGGCGGCGUGCCUAACACAUGCAAGUCGAACGGGACCAGGGGCAACUCUGGUUCAGUGGCGGACGGGUGCGUAACACGUGAGGAACAUGACCUUCGGCGGGGGAUAGCCGGCCCAACGGCCGGGUAAUACCGCGUGCGACCACUUUGGGACAUCCCUGGGUGGUGAAAGCAGCAAUGCGCCGAUGGAGUGCCUCGCGGCCUAUCAGCUAGUUGGUGAGGUAACGGCUCACCAAGGCGACGA
rnacentral:rRNA from 1 species